rnacentral:tRNA from 1 species
GCAUUAAUGGGGUAGUGGUAACCUGGGUCGUUGCCAUUUGACAACUUGAACCUUUCGACCCGCCGGGGGUUCGAUUCCCUCUUAAUGCA